AGUAGGGUGGCCGAGGCACAGGCGAUAAAUUGUAAAUUUAUUUACGGAAUUUUCUUCCUUCUACUA
rnacentral:tRNA from 1 species